CGCAAUCCAGCCGGCCUUGGACUCGAACAGCGCCAUUAUCGCUGAGGAAUCGAUCGAUCCUACGAGUUUGUGAGAUUCGUUGAACGUCUCCAUGUGACUCUUGUAAAUCCCUAAGCAACCCUUGGGAUAGGAAUCCUUUGUUACCCGAAAGCCGCAGUCUAUCAUUUAUCGUUAAUCAAUGUCUCUAUAUAAGUCUAUAUACAUCUACAAGAAGACCAACUGUUCGGAUCGAAAUAUUGCAAAAUAGAAGCGGGUGAGCAGUAUAAUUUGUGCACAACGCCAAGAAUGCAGGAGAACGCCGAGAAAGUGAGAGAAGAGGGAAUACAAUAAUGAAGAACGAUAAUCAUAUGAUAAUCCGAGGGAGAAAGGAACAAUGGACUGAAAGGAAGGGAACAGCGAGCAAAAAGGGCUCAUGUACUAAAUAAAGCCGGCCCCUUGCGCACACCAAAACAUCAACUUUUCUUUUUCUUUUUCUUUUUCUUUUCUUACCUUUUUUUUUCAAAACUUCGUCUUCAACUUCGAACC
rnacentral:sRNA from 1 species